rnacentral:rRNA from 1 species
UGGGGAAUUUUGGGCAAUGGGCGAAAGCCUGACCCAGCAACGCCGCGUGAAGGAUGAAGUAUUUCGGUAUGUAAACUUCGAAAGAAUAGGAAGAAUAAAUGACGGUACUAUUUAUAAGGUCCGGCUAACUACGUGCCAGCAGCCGCGGUAAUACGUAGGGACCAAGCGUUGUUCGGAUUUACUGGGCGUAAAGGGCGCGUAGGCGGCAAUUCAAGUCAUCUGUGAAAUCUCCGGGCUUAACUCGGAACGGUCAGAUGAUACUGCUUUGCUAGAGUGCAGAAGGGGCAAUCGGAAUUCUUGGUGUAGCGGUGAAAUGCGUAGAUAUCAAGAGGAACACCUGAGGUGAAGACGGGUUGCUGGGCUGACACUGACGCUGAGGCGCGAAAGCCAGGGGAGCAAACGGGAUUAGAUACCCGCGUAGUCCCUGAGCGGGCUGGCAAGGCGCAU